AGUGAACGCUGGCGGUAGGCCUAACACAUGCAAGUCGAACGGCAGCACAGUAAGAGCUUGCUCUUACGGGUGGCGAGUGGCGGACGGGUGAGGAAUACAUCGGAAUCUACUUUUUCGUGGGUGAUAACGUAGGGAAACUUACGCUAAUACCGCAUACGACCUACGGGUGAAAGCAGGGGAUCUUCGGACCUUGCGCGAUUGAAUGAGCCGAUGUCGGAUUAGCUAGUUGGCGGGGUAAAGGCCCACCAAGGCGACGAGCCGUAGCUGGUCUGAGAGGAUGAUCAGCCACACUGGAACUGAGACACGGUCCAGACUCCUACGGGAGGCAGCAGUGGGGAAUAUUGGACAAUGGGCGCAAGCCUGAUCCAGCCAUACCGCGUGGGUGAAGAAGGCCUUCGGGUUGUAAAGCCCUUUUGUUGGGAAAGAAAAGCAGCAGGUUAAUACCCCGCUGUUCUGACGGUACCCAAAGAAUAAGCACCGGCUAACUUCGUG
rnacentral:rRNA from 1 species